rnacentral:rRNA from 1 species
UCAAGCUGUAAAGGGCGCAAGGGGAAUGCCUUGGCACUGAGAGCCGACGAAGGACGCGACAAGCUGCGAUAAGCUACGGGGAGCCGCAAAUGGGCUUUGAUCCGUAGAUUUCCGAAUGGGGAAACCCGGCAGAGCAAUACUCUGUCAACGUACACUGAAUACAUAGGUGUAUGUGGGGAACCGCCUGAACUGAAACAUCUAAGUAGGGCGAGGAAGAGAAAUCAACCGAGAUUCCGCUAGUAGUGGCGAGCGAACGCGGAAGAGGCCAAACCGAAGGUAGCAAUAUCUUCGGGGUUAGGACUGCAACAUGCAGCUUUCAUUUUUAACCGAAUGCUUUGGGAAGAGCAGCGAAACAGGGUGAUAGCCCCGUAGGUGAAAAGAAUGGAGCGCUAGCAGUAUCCAGAGUACCAGCGGACACGUGAAACCCGCUGGGAAGAUGGGGGGACCAUCCUCCAAGCCUAAAUACUACUCAGUGACCGAUAGUGGAGCAGUACCGUGAGGGAAAGGUGAAAAGUACCCCGGGAGGGGAGUGAAAGAGAACCUGAAACCUUGUGCCUACAAGCACCGAGAGCACGUUAAAGUGUGAUCGGGUACUUUUUGUAGAACGGUCCGGCGAGUUAAUAUUUGCAGCGAGGUUAAGUAACUGGAGUUACGGAGCCGCAGCGAGAGCGAGUCUGAAUAGGGCGUAUGAAGUUGCAGGUAUUAGACCCGAAACCGGGUGACCUAUCCAUGAGCAGGCUGAAGCGGUGGUAAGACACCGUGGAGGGCCGCACCCACGUCUGUUGAAAAAGCCGGGGAUGACUUGUGGAUAGCGGAGAAAUUCCAAUCGAACUCGGAGAUAGCUGGUUCUCCCCGAAAUAGCUUUAGGGCUAGCGUUAUUUUAGAUUACCGGAGGUAAAGCACUGAAUGGUCUAGGGGCCGCGAGGUUACCAAAGCCUAUCAAACUCUGAAUGCCGGAUAAUUGAUGAAUAGCAGUCAGACUGUGUGAGAUAAGUCUCAUAGUCAAAAGGGAAACAGCCCAGAUCUACAGCUAAGGUCCCAAAUGAACACUAAGUGGAAAAUGAUGUGAAACUGCUAAGACAACCAGGAUGUUGGCUUAGAAGCAGCCACUCAUUCAAAGAGUGCGUAAUAGCUCACUGGUCGAGUGGUUUUGCGCAGAAAAUGUAACGGGGCUAAGUGUUCAACCGAAGCUUAGGCAUUGCAGUAAUGCAUUGGGUAGGGGAGCGUCGUAUGCGGGGCGAAGUCAGAGCGGAAGCACUGGUGGACUGCAUACGAGUGAGAAUGCCGGAAUAAGUAGCGAGAAUUAUGUGAGAAUCAUAAUGGCCGAAAAUCUAAGGUUUCCUGGGGAAGGUUCGUCCGCCCAGGGUUAGUCGGGAGCUAAGCUCAGGCCGAAAGGCGUAGGCGAUGCACAUACGGUAGAAAUUCCGUAACCACCGAACUUUAAGCUAGAGGGACGCUUUCUUUAAGGUUAUCCCGGGCGAUGGUUGCCCCGGGCGUAAGGGACCGAAAUUUAGUAGGGAAGUAACUGGCGAGAGAGACGAGAAAAGCUCUAGUGUAUACUAAGGUGCCCGUACCGCAAACCGACACAGGUAGAAGGGAUGAGUAUUCUAAGGCCAACGGGAGAAGGGUUGUUAAGGAACUCGGCAAAUUGGCCCCGUAACUUCGGGAUAAGGGGCGCCUGCGAGAGCAGGCCGCAGUGAAAAGGCCCAAGCGACUGUUUAGCAAAAACACAGCUCUCUGCUAAAUCGAAAGAUGACGUAUAGGGGGUGACGCCUGCCCGGUGCUGGAAGGUUAAGGGGAGUGCUUAGCGCAAGCGAAGGUGCGAACUUAAGCCCCAGUAAACGGCGGCCGUAACUAUAACGGUCCUAAGGUAGCGAAAUUCCUUGUCAGGUAAGUUCUG